UACGAAGGGGGCUAGCGUUGCUCGGAAUUACUGGGCGUAAAGGGCGCGUAGGCGGAUAGUUUAGUCAGAGGUAAAAGCCCAGGGCUCAACCUUGGAACUGCCUUUGAUACUGGCUAUCUUGAGUUCGGGAGAGGUGAGUGGAAUGCCGAGUGUAGAGGUGAAAUUCGUAGAUAUUCGGCGGAACACCAGUGGCGAAGGCGACUCACUGGCCCGAUACUGACGCUGAGGCGCGAAAGCGUGGGGAGCAAACAGGGAUUAAGAAACCCGGAGUAACGUCCGAGAACCAACGA
rnacentral:rRNA from 1 species